rnacentral:rRNA from 1 species
GAGUUUGAUCGUGGCUCAGAACGAACGCUGGCGGCAGGCUUAACACAUGCAAGUCGAACGCGUGUAGCAAUACACGAGUGGCGCACGGGUGAGUAACACGUGGAUAUCUGCCUUUUGGUUCGGGAUAACCCUGGGAAACUAGGGCUAAUACCGGAUGGUUCCUACGGGAUAAAGAUUUAUCGCCAAAAGGUGAGUCCGCGUCCGAUUAGCUAGUUGGUGGGGUAAUGGCCCACCAAGGCGACGAUCGGUAGCUGGUCUGAGAGGACGAUCAGCCACACUGGGACUGAGACACGGCCCAGACUCCUACGGGAGGCAGCAGUGGGGAAUAUUGGACAAUGGGGGCAACCCUGAUCCAGCCAUGCCGCGUGAGUGAUGAAGGCCUUCGGGCUGUAAAGCUCUUUUGGUCGGGGACGAUGAUGACGGUACCCGCAGAAUAAGCCCCGGCUAACUUCGUGCCAGCCGCCGCCGUAAC